AAACAACACGAGGGGUGUCCCGCUACCGGGGCUGAGAUGUGCUUGGCAUGAUCCCUUUGAACCUGUAAGUUCAUACUUGCGUAGGAACGUGUUCAUCGACGGCC
rnacentral:ncRNA from 2 species